CCUACGGGAGGCAGCAGUGGGGAAUAUUGGGCAAUGGGCGCGAGCCUGACCCAGCAACGCAGCGUGAAGGAAGAAGGCUUUAGGGUUGUAAACUUCUUUUCUCAGGGGAGAAGAAAGUGACGGUACCUGCUGAAUAAGCCACGGCUAACUACGUGCCAGCAGCCGCGGUAAUACGGAGGUGGCAAGCGUUAUCCGGAUUUAUUGGGUGUAAAGGGAGUGUAGGCGGGAGGGUAAGUCAGAUGUGAAAACUUAGGGCUCAACCCUGAGAUUGCAUUUGAAACUGUGUUUCUUGAGUGCUGUGGAGGUAAUCGGAAUUCGGUGUGUAGCGGUGAAAUGCUUAGAUAUACGGAGGAACACCAGUGGCGAAGGCAGAUUGCUGAACAGUAACUGACGCUGAGGCGCGAAAGCGUGGGGAGCAAACAGGAUUAGAUACCCUUGUAGUC
rnacentral:rRNA from 1 species